CCUUUUCUAUAUCUCUAUCAACAUCAUCAUCAUUUCAACCGGAUCUUCUUCGACCCGAAAAUAAUUUCAAACUCUCAGUUCUUUCAAAACCUAACCCUAAUUCUUCAAUUUUUUCAAUUCAAUGGCCAGUGAUUCCAAUGAACCUGCUAUUCGCAAACACCAUCGAUCUUCUCCUUCAGAUGAAGAUAACGGAGAACCAUCGAAACGCCGUAAACACCGUCACCACCACCGUCAUCACCGUCACCAUCGCCACCACAGCAAAAAAUCCGACCCGAAACCCGAUUCGAAACCCGAUAACGAAACGGGUAAACCGAAAGGUGAAAUUGAGAAUUUAGGGAUUGGUACUGUUAUUGGUGUUUCUGAUUUAGGGAUUGAUUAUGAUGAUAUGGAAGAAGGUGAAAUUAUUGAGGAUGAUGACGUGGCAACAAAAAAAUUGGAGAAUGAAGAUGAUUUAGACAUGGAGUUGCAUGAACCUCAAGGGCAAGGGCCUACAGACAAUGUGGAAAAAGUCGACAGAGAUUCCGCUGCUUCAGGACGGCAUGAUGAGCAAAGGAAAAGUAGAAAAUCUGAUAGUUCUAGAGAAAGGAAAUCCAGUGACAAGCAUUUUGCGAAUGGUAGUUACAUAGCUGAAUCUGAUAAAUUGGACUCUAAAGCUCAGAAAGAAGAUAGUUUUGCUGGUGAAGAAAGUAGAAAGAAAAAGAGCUAUGAUGAGGAUGAAAGUGAUAUACAGGAUCAAAGAAAAUCUUUGACUCCUGAAAAUGUUGGGAAGAGGCAUAGAUCUGUUAGGGUAUCAUCUUCUCGUGAUGAGCACCAUGAAGAGAAACAUGUUACAAGGUCAUCCAAGUCACCUGAUCGGUCCAGAGGAAGAUCGCGAUCCAAAAGUGUUUUAGAGGAGUCUUUCCUUGUACCUAAGUCUCGUGAGAAAGAUGACACAUAUGAGAAGGAAAGCAGAUAUAGAAGUAACUUGGAUGAUGGGGAAAUUGGGCACAACAGAGACUAUCGACAUGGAAGCCGAGAGUCUUCAAGGGAUUGGGAAAAAGAGCAUAAUUCUAGUUACAGCAGACGCUCUAGGGAAGGGUAUCAUAACCGGGAAAGUGUUGACAGAUAUCGGGAGAGUAGCAUGGAGAAUUACAGGGAUAGAGUGAGAGAGAAAGACAGGGAGCGCGAGUUGGCUAGAGAAAAGGGAAGGGAGAGUCAUAAGGAGAAGGAGAGGGAAAGGGAGAGGGAGAGGGACAGAGAGAGGGAAAGAGAGAAAGCUCGAGAUAGGGAAAGAGAGAGGGAGAGGGAUAGAGAACGGGAAUAUGAGAGGGGGACAGUGAGGGAGAGGGAUAGAGAGAGAGAUAGUUUCAGAGAGAGGGAGGAGAGAGAAAGGAGGAAUAGGGAUAGGGAAAGCAGAGGACGUAGUAGGGAGGCAGAUAGGGAUAGAUAUAGUGAUAGGUCCAGCAGGCAGCGGAGAUAUGAUGACCUUGAUGAUGGUCCUGCUUAUAAUAGACGUAAUAGACAUUAUGAGACUGAUAUUGAGAGAGAAAGGACAAGUGAUCACUUCAAAACUGAGAACACAAAGCAAAAAGCUGUAGAGACAGACAGUGAGAAAUCUAGAAGAGAUGAAGUUGAGCAGGAGGAUUAUCAGGAAAAAAUUGUUUCCCAGCUUGCUGAACAGGAAGAAGAAGACGAACUUGAUAGAAUUAAGGAGGAGAGCAGAAGGCGAAGGCAAGCUAUUCUUGAAAAAUAUAAGAAUCAGCAGUCACAGAAGGAAAAAGUUACUCUGUCCGGGGACGUCGUUGAGGUUUAUCUGGAUCAGUCCACUCAAAAGCCUGCAGCAGGAGACAAUGUUGUGCCAGAGUCGAUUGAUGGUAAAAGCAAUGGUGCAGUUGUCCAUGUGGAUGAGCCGACAUUUUCUGUUGGGAAAUCACCUCUGCAGAAUGGUGAUAUUGCUGACGAGCAGGCUUCUGGAGCUGGUGGACUGGGACAGGGUACUCCAAAGAGUGAGAGGUCGGCUGACAUGUUUUGCGACGAUAUAUUUGGAGAAUCACCUGCUGGCGUCAGGAAAAAGGGCAAAGGAGAUGGCAUGGCAGUUGAGCGCAGUGGCCUUCAUGAUAACUGGGAUGAUCCAGAAGGGUAUUAUAGUUAUCGGUUCGGAGAAAUUCUUGAUGGCCGUUAUGAGAUUGUUGCUGCUCAUGGUAAAGGAGUCUUUUCUACUGUUGUUCGGGCUAGAGAUCUCAAGGCUAGAUCUGGUGACCCUGAAGAAGUAGCAAUAAAAAUGAUACGCAAUAAUGAAACGAUGUAUAAAGCUGGUAUGGAAGAGUUGGUCAUAUUGAAGAAGCUAGUUGGUGCAGAUCCUGAAGACAAGUGCCACUGUGUUCGUUUAAUUUCUAGGUUCGAGUACCGUUAUCAUCUUUGUUUAGUUUUUGAGUCUCUUCAUAUGAAUCUCCGUGACCUCCAGAAGAAAUUUGGUCGUAACAUUGGACUCAAACUCACUGCUGUGAGGACGUAUGCGAAGCAACUUUUCAUUGCUUUGAAGCAUUUAAAAAAUUGUGGUGUGCUUCAUUGUGAUAUUAAACCUGACAAUAUGCUGGUAAAUGAAGCAAAAAAUGUGCUGAAGCUUUGUGACUUUGGUAAUGCUAUGUUUGCUGGCAAAAACGAAAUUACUCCAUACCUCGUGAGCCGUUUUUACCGUGCCCCAGAGAUCAUACUUGGCUUGUCGUACGAUCAUCCGAUGGAUAUAUGGUCUGUUGGUUGCUGUUUGUUUGAGCUCUAUGCUGGGAAAGUGUUAUUUCCAGGUCCAAGUAAUAAUGACAUGCUUCGUCUUCAUAUGGAAUUGAAAGGUCCAUUUCCAAAAAAGAUGCUUAGAAAGGGUGUGUUUACAGAUCAACACUUUGACCAAGAUCUCAAUUUUCUUGCCACCGAAGAGGAUCCUGUUACAAAAAAGGCUAUGAGGAAGCUGAUUGUUAACAUCAAGCCAAAAGAUAUCAGUUCAAUAAUUUCGGGUUCUCCAGGUGAAGACCCAAAGAUGUUGUCUCACUUUAAAGAUCUUAUGGAGAGAAUCUUUGUGUUGGAUCCAGAAAAGAGAAUAACUGUUUCCCAGGCAUUGAGCCACCCAUUCAUCACGGGCAAGUGAACGACAAUGAUGAUUUUCUGACUAGGGACAUGCUGUUGCGCUAGAUACUAGUGCAUUAUGAUCAUAUGAUCUUAGUUUAUAUUCAGUUCUCUAAUCAUUGGACUUUAUCUGUUUUUAUCUACUAUCUUGGGUUAAGUGCUUCGGAGCUUGGCAUGGUUGAAGUUGCAGAGAAGAUUGCUGACCGUGGGAGACCUAUAUCUUGGCAGUUCUUUCAGUGGAUUGUUUUCUGUUCUAUCGAUAUCUACCAGGGCUUUGAGGCAAGAUUCAGUGAUUUAGAUGCUUAAAAGGCACCCUGGAGAAGGUACCUUGGAUUGUUUGUUAGGAAUUACUGUGACACCCUUUAAAUGUUGUGGAUCAUCUUGAUUCCUCUAACAUCAGCCAUAAUUUGUAUUUUCUCCUUUGUGUGAAUUUUUUAUUUUUUCUUGACAAGUUCUGAUUUCUGAACUUUAAUUUGGUCUUGCCUGAAAAAUUGAAUGCCUGAGGGUGGCUUGUUAAUGAGCCUCCGUAGGCUAGAAUAGUAAAGCUAUCAAGAGCUAGAGUAUUUAUUCUAUUUGGGCUCAUCGUUUUUUUCUGGAAAUAAUUUGGAGUCAUUGUUGUUUCUUCUAUUUCUUAAAUCUUUGUAUAAAAACACUUUCUAAUGAAGUUGCAUUGCAUCUGAUCCAUGGUAUGGUCAUCCUGGAGCAAUGUAUGACUGGAGAUGAUCAGAUGCAGCCUUGAAGUGAGAGUUGUUUCAGUGAGUUGUCAAUUUUUUUUUUUCUUGCUGUUUGUUCAUUAAGAAUAAUAUAUUCUUACAUCCCUUUGAGAAGUGUGGUAUUGAUGUGGCUUUUUGUCUUGCUAGGGUGUGGUUUCAUGCAUCUGCAGUUCUAGUAAGUAUCCUUGAAUUUCAUUACAUCUCUGGUGUAAUAGGUACCUAUCUUUUGAAAACCUUAUAGUAUUCUAUCAAUGUAUUACAUUCAAAGUUAGCUGGUCAUCCAUGGAAAUGACCUACUUGGAGUCCUCGGAUUAAAUUUUUUAACUGGUUUUGUGCAAAAAGGCCACUGUGGUAUCAAAAUCUUUCUCAAAUUUCACUUGUCCCUCUACCGAACACUUACUUCCCGUGCCAGAUUUUGUCAUGAAAACAAUCAUUUGUCUAGCUUGCAUUGGAAUUUGACUUUGUAGCUCCUCUAAGCAACUGCCAUUAAAUUCUCUAUAAUUAGUUUAGUUUUCGAUUCUGCAAGAUUGAAGUGUCAGUCUAAGCUACAACAUGUCUUCAUCGAGGCAUCAGGAGAUGUUCUGCCUUGAUUGUUCUUGAAGCCUACUGAUUGGAAACUUCCAUAUAGGUUGAAAGGAUUUUGAGGGAAAUACACUAUAAUGUGUCGGAGAAUGUGUCUGGAGCUCUCCAGCCUUUAUUUGUGUUUGUUUAUUGGAUGCUUUUGAACGAGGCAGGGUAGAGGAUUGAGUGAGCUGCCCUCCAAGGAGGUAAAUUAGAUAGGGAGAAACCUGAUGGCGUGGACUAGUGGUCAAUGAAGUAGGAGGAGAAGCAUGAGUCUCAGGUUCAAAUUCCAGUGGAGGCAAAGAACACUAGGCGAUUUCUUCCCAUCUGCCUAAGCCUUGGUGGGCAGAGCUACUCGAUACCCCUGUGCUGGUAGGAGGUAGUAAGUACCCGGUGAACUAAGCGGGGGGGGGGGAGUGUUAUAGUGCUCUCCAUUGUAUGCUUUGUCGUAUGUUACCUUAUACUAACUUUUAGCAAGUUGCCUACUUCAAUUUUUUAGCCAAUUCAUGUUUCUCCAUUUGAAGUAAUGAUAAACCUCAAACAAGUUUAAACAAGGACAAAUUUGCUAUCCCAUAUGUAAAGAAAAACAGAGCAGAGUGAUGGAGAAGACAAGAGGAUUGGCGCUCAUGUGUGUUAGUUGGCCAUAAGGAUGUGGGGAAAUAUUUGGUUUCUGACCAAGCAUGGGAUUCUCGUUCAAUAUGCAUUGCAUUUUUCUCCAAUCUUACAUAGUCAAGAAAACAUUUGACCAGCUUCCCAGAAACCUUCUUAGGCACCAAUGUUCUGCUCCUUGGCCAGGCCUCUCUGACUCUGUAUCCAAUUUGUAGCCAUUAGACUUCAUUAUUCAUGGCAAGCUCCAAUAAGUAACUGUAGUUUUCUCCUUAUCAAAAAGUAACUCUAGUUUUCUAUCCACAGGAUCUGUCCAUCUCGAAAGAAUUGAGAUGUGUGUGUUUUUUUCUUUUUUUUGAUAAGGAAGAAUUGAGAUGUGACGUAUAAUCAAGAGUCUUUAAACCUCUCAACACAUGACUACUAUUCGGCUAGUAAUCUUUCUAUCUCAUGCUAACAAAUUCAACGUUCAAGUUCGAUUUCAUUUUUUCAGGUUUAUGGUAUAGUCAUUGUCACGCUAGGCACUAGCAAUUACUUUCGUCAUUUGUCUAUUCUACGUGUUGGUGGGUUUCUAUUUUAGUAGUUUUAUUAUUUCAAAGAACUUCUACAAUUCAAAGCAUUCUAGGUUAUCCUUCAUUUUUUCCACGUUUCUCGUAAAUUACAAUCUUUUAUCUAUUUUCUAGCAUGUCUUAUAUGUUAUCGUCUGAUCUGUUGUUAUGCUGGAGUAUUUGUGCGUGAUAGAAGGCAUUAGUUUUUUAUUUGGGUUAUGACUAAGAUGGAUGGCUUGUCUUUCAAAUUGCUUUGAAUAUAAAAAGUUGUUAAAAGAUACACUUAUCCAAAGGAGUUUAAGGGUUUCCAAAGAGAGUUUAUAAAGCCCUAGCCGCUUUACCCAUAGCUUUAAGUUUCCAGUUAGAUGCUAGUUACCUUAUUGGUUGUCUAGGGGUUUGUAGAGGAGCUUAUAAUGUCUGGGACUGUUCCACUCAUAACUUAAAGAUUUUGAGUUGGAUAUUCAGAUUCUUUCACAUGGUGUCUGAGAUAACUUUGGGUAAGCCCGUUUUCACAAUUGUAUUACUCUGCUAUUAGUUUGGUCUGGACUUCUCACUUGCUCAAUUCAGUACAUUGAGCCAUUAAUUUGUUCAGGAUUAUCUUGUAGUUUGUUGAGCCUACUCGUUCUCUGCCCCAUGCUCGCUCUUCAGUUUAUUGAGUCUACUCUCUCCCGCAACUUUUGGUCCAUUCUCGCCUCGUGUCUCUCCUCAGGUUCAUCUUUAGUUAAUAAAAUUGAGGGAAAAAAAAAAAA